rnacentral:rRNA from 1 species
GACGAACGCUGGCGGCGUGCUUAACACAUGCAAGUCGAACGGAAAGGCCCCUUCGGGGGUACUCGAGUGGCGAACGGGUGAGUAACACGUGAGUAACCUGCCCUUGACUUCGGGAUAACUUCAGGAAACUGGGGCUAAUACCGGAUAGGAAUCCUUGCUGCAUGGUGGGGGUUGGAAAGCUUCGGCGGUUUUGGAUGGACUCGCGGCUUAUCAGCUUGUUGGUGGGGUAGUGGCUUACCAAGGCUUUGACGGGUAGCCGGCCUGAGAGGGCGACCGGCCACAUUGGGACUGGGAUACGGCCCAGACUCCUACGGGAGGCAGCAGUGGGGAAUAUUGCACAAUGGGCGGAAGCCUGAUGCAGCAACGCCGCGUGCGGGAUGACGGCCUUCGGGUUGUAAACCGCUUUCAGCAGGGGCGAAGCUUGUGGUGACGGUACCUGCAGAAGAAGCACCGGCUAACUACGUG